UACGAGGGGGGCGAGCGUUGUUCGGAAUUAUUGGGCGUAAAGGGUGCGUAGGCGGUUUUGUAAGUCUUAUGUGAAAUCUAUGGGCUCAACUCAUAGACUGCAUGAGAAACUGCAGGGCUUGAGUAUGGGAGAGGUGAGUGGAAUUCCUGGUGUAGCGGUGAAAUGCGCAGAUAUCAGGAGGAACACCGGUGGGCGAAGGCGGGUCUCUGGGCCGAUACUGACGCUGGAGGAGCGAAAGCGUGGGGAGCGAACAGG
rnacentral:rRNA from 1 species